rnacentral:lncRNA from 1 species
AUUUCUUACUUUUUAAGAUGAUUUAAGUUAUGUCACAAAGACUUGAUAUUUGGGAAUAUAGAUAAAUAAGCAUUAUUAUGUAAAUUAGCUAUUUGAGUAUUAAUGUUAUGUUAAUUGAAUAAUGAAACAACAUAUAUUAGUUGACCAUGUAGUAAGGGACAGUGAUGUAUUAGACUUGUAUUCUGAGACUUGCUUGAUAGUCACGUAUUGGACACUGUGUUAUAGACUUGGAUUUAUGUUAGACAUGCUGUUUUAUUAUGUCUCAUGAACUAUUGUGAUUAUUGUGAUUGAUAACUAUAUUGAAUGCUGAUUAAUAAACAUUAUAUAUUGAACUUUGAAUCUGUGUUACGUUGACAUGUAUUCAUACAAAAGCUACCAGCUAGUUCCCCC